GUAUGUGAUGAUGUGGACUACUUGCACCUAGACAAAAACACCCUAUGAAGCUUUAUUGUUCCCUGGGAUUUUCUUUGGGUUCUUCUUGCACAUCUUAGUUGGAGGAUAAAAAAGGCCCCCUUUUGAGGGGCCUAAGCCACCAAUGAGAUACCAAUAUGAAAGCGAUAGAAUUAUAACUUUGUGUUAGGACCUACGAGCCAAGGGCCAGUCUCAGGUAAACAAUUUAUAUGGGGUGUAUUCCUCCCAAAAGGUAAUGAAGGCGUGAAAAGGUUUCCUCUGGAUGGAUGGAAAUCAACCCUCUAGUGCAAAGGCACAAGGGAGCUUGAUUGCAAGACCCACCCAUCGAGUAGGGAUGAAAUUCGACCUUAGUGAUUCAAUGAUGCUGAUAGGAAGGGCCAUCACUCAAUGUAUAAAAGUUACUCUAGGGAUAAUAGGCUAAUCUUCCCAAAUUAUAUAGCCAAGUGGUGUAGUAUAGAGUAACAAACACACUAGUGCAUG
rfam:Picea glauca, whole genome shotgun sequence.